UACGAAGGGGGCUAGCGUUGCUCGGAAUUACUGGGCGUAAAGCGCACGUAGGCGGCUUUCUAAGUCGGGGGUGAAAUCCUGGAGCUCAACUCCAGAACUGCCUUCGAUACUGGAGAGCUCGAGUCCGGGAGAGGUGAGUGGAACUGCGAGUGUAGAGGUGAAAUUCGUAGAUAUUCGCAAGAACACCAGUGGCGAAGGCGGCUUACUGGUCCGGUUCUGACGCUGAGGAGCGAAAGCGUGGGUAGCAAACAGG
rnacentral:rRNA from 1 species